UGAAUAGUUUGAAAAUCAGACCAUUGUGC
rnacentral:sRNA from 1 species